rnacentral:rRNA from 1 species
CCUACGGGUGGCAGCAGUGGGGAAUUUUGGACAAUGGGGGCAACCCUGAUCCAGCCAUGCCGCGUGCGGGAAGAAGGCCUUCGGGUUGUAAACCGCUUUUGUCAGGGAAGAAAUCUUCCGAGCUAAUACCUUGGGAGGAUGACGGUACCUGAAGAAUAAGCACCGGCUAACUACGUGCCAGCAGCCGCGGUAAUACGUAGGGUGCAAGCGGUGAUCGGAGUGACUGGGGGUAAAGCUGGCGCACGGGGGUGAAAGCCCCGGGCUUAACCUGGGAACUGCACUUGUGACUGUACGGCUGGAGUACGGCAGAGGGGGAUGGAAUUCCGCGUGUAGCAGUGAAAUGCGUAGAGAUGCGGAGGAACACCGAUGGCGAAGGCAGUCCCCUGGGCCUGUACUGACGCUCAUGCACGAAAGCGUGGGGAGCAAACAGGAUUAGAUACCCGUGUAGUC